rnacentral:rRNA from 1 species
GCUGUUAAGGGUUCGUAGUUGAAUUGAGGGUUGUUCAGCACGCAUUUCAGUCCGGCCCUCUGGGUUUCGUGCUCUUGCUCUGGCAAUCCGUGAACAUACUCAAGAAACGCACAUCAUGGGACGUUGCCUCUCAAACUACGCACGCAAUGUGUGCAGAGGGCCGCCCGUGUGUCUUACUGUGCUAAAAAAGCGCGACUAAAGCAGUCGUUCGACCUGAAUUUGAAAGCAUGGGAUAACGAGCAGCAGCCUACGGGCUUCCGUUAUGGCUUUUGUUGGUUUUAAAUGUCUGUGGGAGCUAUGGGUCCGAUUGACAGACGGUUCGGGGUUCUGUCCCCACGUUCCCGGUGUGUAUGGGUCUUCGGUUCUGCCUCCGGUUUUCGGCUCCAGGAAUGAAGGAGGGUUGUUCGGGGGAGACGUACCUCGGUGUGAGAGGUGAAAUUCUUAGACCACCGAGAGACGAACUACAGCGAAGGCUUCUCCAAGGAUACCUUCAUCAAUCAAGAACUAAAGUG